GAUAUACCUAAUGCUAAAUGACGAGUUAGUGGGUGCAGCGCACCAACAUGGCACAUGUAUACAUAUGUAACAAACCUGCACAAUGUGCACAUGUACCCUAAAACUUAAAGUAUAAUAAUAAUAAAAAAAGGAAAUUGUCUACUAUAUUUUCCUUCCCCCAUUUUAGGCAAUUGGCAUCCUCCAGCUCUUGGCUCCUUUGCUUCCCUCUGUAUCUCCCAUCAAAGUUUGCUUUAAAGAAAGAUUUUGUAGGAAUGCUUUACUUGAAUUGUGGAUUUAAAACAAGACAUGUCACUCCUAACAGACAUUUACAUUUGAUAUCUCUCUCUGAUCAUGGAAAUAAAUGCUCUAUCGCUCUUUAAGGCAAGUUCAGGCGUCAGCAAGUGGGGGAAGAGCUUCUUGGAGUCUUGCUGUUAAGUCUCAUCUCAUCAUUUUCUAAGUGCUUCACCUCCUCCACCUUCUUAAAAGCUGGCUGGAGAUAAAAGGGUAAUGUCACCCUGGAAGGACUGAGCUCUUAAUUCACAGAUGUUGCUCCAGAGCUUGGGUCUCAGCUUCUGAUGACUUGUUCAUUGUUACCUGGAACAGAACUGUCCUGUAACCACAUUCCCAUGGCUUUAUGAUCCACAAUUAGGAGAUUGACUAUGUCAGAUACCAAAUAGAAGGAGAGAGACAAUAAGAAUUCAUUUAGUAAUCUAUCCAAAUAUAUUUGUUGAGAUCCAUGUAGCUGAGAGCUAUGCAAAGUACUGGGUGUACCAGUAGAAAACAAGAUAGGCAGCAUCUGUCCUCACAGAGCUUAUGGUCUGGUGGGCUAUACAGACAAGGAGAAAAUAUGGGUAAUACAUGUUAGGUAUAAAUAAAAAGAAAUUAUGAGGUGCUAUGGGAAGACUAUGCGGAGUCUAAUUAGUGGUAUGCUUGGUCUAAUUACUGGCUCUACCAAAAAAAAAAUUAAAAAAGGAAAAAAAAAGAAAAAAGCUCCUGAUUUAUAGUGUUUGUCAAUUUCCAUGGUGUAAAGAUUCCCACCAAUUUCAAGCAGCAACAUGACAUCACUGAAUGGAGCUACAAAAAAAUGAACAGUACUUUUUUCUUAUCGACAGGGGCUGUAUUCCAAGACCCCCAAUGGAUGCCUGAAACCAUGGCUAGUACUAAACCCCAUGAACACUAUGUUUUUUUCUAUACAUACCUAUGGUAAAAUUUAAUUUAUAAAUUAGGCAUAGUAAGU
rnacentral:lncRNA from 1 species